CCUACGGGAGGCAGCAGUGAGGAAUAUUGGUCAAUGGGCGGAAGCCUGAACCAGCCAAGUCGCGUGAGGGAUUAAGGCCCUGCGGGUCGUAAACCUCUUUUGCCGGGGCGCAGAUGUCCGGACGUGUCCGGGCCGGGACAGUACCCGGAGAAGAAGCAUCGGCUAACUCCGUGACAGCAGCCGCUGUAAUACGGAAGCUUCGAGCGUUAUACGGAUUUAUUGGGUUGAAAGGGAGCGUAAAUGGGUUGUUUAGUCUGAUGUGAAAGUUUGCGGCUCAAACGUAAAAUUGCAAUUGAUACUGGGAGUCUUGAGGACAGUUGAGGUAGGCGGAAUUCGUGGUGUAGCGGUGAAAUGCUUAGAUAUCAGGAGGAACUCCGAGUGCGAAGGCAGCUUACUAAACUGCAACUGACAUUGAUGCUCGAAAGUGUGGGUAUCAAACAGGAUUAGAUACCCGUGUAGUC
rnacentral:rRNA from 1 species